rnacentral:rRNA from 1 species
CCUACGGGAGGCAGCAGUGGGGAAUUUUCCGCAAUGGGCGAAAGCCUGACGGAGCAAUACCGCGUGAGGGAAGACUGCCUAUGGGUUGUAAACCUCUUUUUUCAGGGAGGAAUAAAUGACGUGUACCUGAAGAAUAAGCAUCGGCUAACUCCAUGCCAGCAGCCGCGGUAAGACGGAGGAUGCAAGUGUUAUCCGGAAUCACUGGGCGUAAAGCGUCUGUAGGUGGUUAGGUAAGUCAACUGUUAAAUCUUGAGGCUCAACCUCAAAAUCGCAGUCGAAACUAUCUGACUAGAGUAUAGUAGAGGUAAAGGGAAUUUCCAGUGGAGCGGUGAAAUGCGUAGAUAUUGGAAAGAACACCGAUGGCGAAGGCACUUUACUGGGCUAUUACUGACACUCAGAGACGAAAGCUAGGGUAGCAAAUGGGAUUAGAUACCCCAGUAGUCCUAGCCGUAAACAAUGGAUACUAGAUGUUGAACAGAUCGACCUGUGCAGUAUCAAAGCUAACGCGUUAAGUAUCCCGCCUGGGAAGUAUGCUCGCAAGAGUGAAACUCAAAGGAAUUGACGG